rnacentral:lncRNA from 1 species
GCAAGGCGAGCUGCCACCAACCACAUCGAGGUUCCCGUACUGACGUGUCGAGGUGGUCGCAUCCCGGCGUAGAGGACUAGGAAUCGGGAGUCACUGGCCGUAUGCUGGAGGCUGGAGACGCGGGAGCGUGGCUUGCCUCGCUGCGGUUGUUGGCAGCGAUGGAGAUGGCGCGGCUGGAGAGUGCCAUCUGCUGCUGCCUCUGACUACUGCAUUUUCCCCCGUUUGCUUAGUCCACGCCCAGUGUGGUAAAAGAUGGGAAAGAGAAAGCCAUCCUCUCAUUAAAGUAAUUGGUCCGGCAUAUACUAAGCGUCAGGCACUUUUUUUUCAGACACUACAGAAAUAUAUCGACACAGGCAAAAUGUAUUUUCUGUACCCUAUAGUCUCACUUAAUAAUGGGUACAUUAGGCUGGGCACAGUGGUUCACGCCUAUAAUCCCAACACUUUGGGAGGCCGAGGCGGGUAGAUCGCCUGAGGUCAGGGGUUCAAGACCAGCCUGGCCAACAUGGCUAAACCCCGUCUCUAUUAAAAAUACAAAAAUUAGCCGGGCAUGGUGGCUCAUACCUGUAAUCCCAGCUACUCAGGAGGCUGAGGCAGGAGAAUCACUUGAACGUGGGAGGCGGAGGUUGCAGUGAGCCGAGAUCGCGCCACUGCACUCCAGCCGGAGACAGAACGAAACUCCGUCUCAAAAAUAAAUAAAUAAAUAAAAUGAUAGGUACAAUAAGUAACAUCAGGGGAUGAUAUCAAAGAAAAAUUUAACAUAUAAAAUGCAGAGAUACUGAUGGGGUGCUGUUUUAUACAGGGUGGUCAUGAAAGACCUUUCUGCUAGCUAUUUCUGAAUGUAGUGUAGGCAUUGAGCCAUGUAGAUGUCUGGGAGGAAAUUUUCAGGCCUAGGAUCAGCAAAUGUGGAGAUCUAGGAGGAUCAUUCAGCAGAGGGAACAGCAAAUACAAAGGUCCUGAAGUAGAAGCACAUGGGGCAUUUUCCAGGCUGUGGGAGGAGGUGGUGCCCGAAAGUAGAAUGAGGGAGUGAGGCGUUGCUGAUGGGGGCUGAAGUGGAAGCCAUGACCAGGUCAUGGAACAUUAUGUUGGCCACAGUGAGGACCCCGAAUUUUUCUAAGUGUGAUGGGAAGCUACUGGGCAGUUUUGAGCAGAAGAGUAUCACAAUCACAUUCAGAUUUUGAAAGAAUUACUCUGUCUGUUACGCAAAUAGCCAAGAGCAGAAGAGUAGACAAUGAUGCCAUCCUGAGGGCUAGCAAUGGAGGCGAAGGGAAGAGAUUCUGGGUUUUGGAUAUAUGUGAAGAGAACGCUGAAAGGAUUUGCGAGCAGGUUAAAUAUUGAGUGUGAAACAAACACAGAUGUCGAUGAUGCAGAGGUUUCGCCUGAGCAGUAGCGUGAAUGGCGGUGCCACUUUCUGAGACUGAGAAUCCUGCUGGAAAGCAGGUUUGGGGACAAGAACAAGAGUCUGGUUUUGGAUGUCGAUUUACUUUUGCAUUUUGAACCAACAUUGCAUUCUAGGAAUAAAUCCCAUUUGGUCAUGACGUGUAAUCCUUUUAAUGUGCUGUUGAAUUCAGUUUGCUGGUAUUUUGUUGAUGAUUUUUGCAUCAAUACUCAUUAAAGAUAUUGGUCUGCAGUUUUCUUGUAGUAUCUUUGGCUUUGGUAUAAGGGUAGUGCUGCACUCAUAAAUAUGAGUUUGGGAGUGUUCCCUCCCUCCUCUUUAAUUUUUUGAAAGAGUUUUAGGAGGAUUGGUAUUAAUUCUUCCUUAAAUAUUUGGUAGAAUUCUCCAGUGAAGUCAUCUGGUCCUGGGCUUUUCUUUGUUGAGAGGUUUUUGAUUAUUGAUUCAAUCUCCUUACUAGUUUUAGGUCUCUUUAGAUUUUCUAUUUCUUUAUGAUUCAGACUUGGUAGAUUGCGUGUUUGUAAGCUACCAAGAUUAUCCAUUUUGUUGGUUUAUAAUUAUUCAUAGUAGUCUCUCAUAAUUGUUUUUAUUUCUGUGGCAUUAGUUGUAAUGUCUCCUCUUUCACGUCUGAUUUUAAUUAUUUAAGCCUUUUCUCUUUUUUUCUUAGUCUAAGGAUUCAUCAAUUUUGAUCUUUUCAAAAAACCAAUUUGUAAUUUUAUUGAGUUUUCUCUAUUUUGUCUUCCAUGUAUUAUUUGUUUAUUUAUCUUAUUUUAUUAAUUUUUUAUUGAGGUGGAAUGUGG